UGAACAAAGUCAGAUAGGUACAGUGAUCUUAAAUCUAUUCCAUGGGAUUCAGCAGAGAAACAGCCCAAGAAGCGGAGCAUCUUAUUUCCAUGUGUGGUGCUGGUGCAAGGCAAAGCACAGAUACUGAAAGGUCUGGAUUGCAUCUUCAGACUUUGCAGAAGAAUGCUUCAGUGCCUUUUCAUACAGAAACAAAUGUCAGGACUGGAAGAGGGAAGGGAGAACACUGCGUGACUCCUCUGACUCUGGUGCAAGACGUAUGAGCCUAGUAGAUGGACACUGCUCAGAUACAUGCAUUUCAUCUCUUUCAGAAGGGACAGCAAAGACAGAUGAGGUGAAGGGAUUCAAGGGAAUUCUGUUGGGUGUCCAGAUGUUCAGAUCACAGAAUCACAGAAUCAUCUAGGUUGGAAAAGACCUCCAAGAUCACCGAGUCCGACCUCUGACCUAACACUAACAAG